UAACAGAAAGAGAAGGGGAUUUCGCCUCCCUUAACGUUUUUCACUCGUCUCUGAACUCCUCUCUCGAUAUUCUCUCUUAUCUCUCAAUCUCGCAGCUCUCACGGUUCUCUCUCGUCAGUUUCACUCUCGAUUUUCUCGGUGAGCAACAACAACGAAAACACUUUCGGACUCUUUCGGUAACUCUCUCAGCUCGUGAUUCUACUCAUCAAUAAUACUCAGCUCAACAACAGAAGAUAAUCAUAAACCCUAAGACCCAAACAUCCCAAUAUUCCCCAGUUCACUAUGAUUUUGAUAGAUUAGAAGUUACAUGAAGGAAUUUAAACACAGAAAUUUAAACAAUCAGAUGAAAAGAAACGAAGAUCCAGGUAAACCUGCGUUGCUUAUCUUUCUUUGCCCUCGGAUCCGUCUUUGUCUUCUGUGAUUUGAUUCUUGCGAUCUAGGUUGCUGUAGGUUCUGCGUGCGUUUUGUGAGGUUGAGUGAAGAUGGGUUGAGUUAUUGAUGAGGCAGAUUGAUGAACAAAUCGGUGAUGGUUUGGUGAUUUUUGCAGUGAGUAUUUUUUGUGGUUUAGUGAGUAUUUUGAGAGGAAUGAGGCUAGGUUGUGGUAUCCAUGAAGGUGAGUUCGAACUAAGUUUUGCAGAAGGAUUGAGGUCUGUGGUGCUGCUUGUGGCUGUAUCGGAUUAGAGUUAUGUGGGUUUGUGAGGAUCGUUGGUUGGUUUAUGGAGUGGUCGAGUAUGCAAUUGAAGGAAGUUGAAGCUGAAGGUUUUUUAGGAGUGUUGUUGCAGGGAUUUGGCUUAGGUUCUGCAGAGCUUUUUGUAUGGCCUUUUUUAUGCAAGGUUUGGACCAUUACAGCAGCUGUUUUGCAGGUUGAAGCAGGGUGUUUGCAGCAAUGAGGUUAGACAGGUUUAUGGGUAGAGCAAGGUGGUAGUGGCAUGAUACGGACAAGUCUUUGUGCAGAAAAUUGGACUGUUGUGUUUGUUUUUGUGCAGGUUUUUGGAGUGAUUUGUUUGGCAUGAGAAAGAUGCAGAGUUGACAGUGAUAGAGGCAAGAAGCAUGAAGACAAAAAUUCUCAUAUUUUUUGUUUAAUUUCUGUACUAUUUUUGUGUAAAAUGGGCUUCUAACAAAAAUGGGCCUAUACUAAUAAAAUUAAACAAACUCUUAUUUU